rnacentral:lncRNA from 1 species
GCUGUCUACGUGAGGGGAGCGGCUGCAUUUCCGGCUAGCAGUUCAGCAGUUCAACAUCAGUCUGCAGAACCGUACAUUUCAUCCAUCCCUGAGGAAGCUGGAGGGAGAGAGAGAGAGAGAUGGAAAAUCAGGCUCUUGCAGCUGGACCUCUGGGAGGCCUGAGGGCCAUGUGGGGAAGCAUGUAGUAUUUUUGUAUUAGUCAGCUCUGUUACAAAAUACCUGAAAUAAAUCAACUUAAAG